rnacentral:rRNA from 1 species
GACGAACGCUGGCGGCGUGCUUAACACAUGCAAGUCGUACGGUAAGGCCCUUUCGGGGGUACACGAGUGGCGAACGGGUGAGUAACACGUGAGUAACCUGCCCACAACUUUGGGAUAACGCUAGGAAACUGGUGCUAAGACUGGAUAUGUGCUCCUGCUGCAUGGUGGGGGUUGGAAAGCUCCGGCGGUUGUGGAUGGACUCGCGGCCUAUCAGCUUGGUGGUGGGGUAGUGGCCUACCAAGGCGGCGACGGGUAGCCGGCCUGAGAGGGUGACCGGCCACAUUGGGACUGAGAUACGGCCCAGACUCCUACGGGAGGCAGCAGUGGGGAAUAUUGCACAAUGGGCGCAAGCCUGAUGCAGCAACGCCGCGUGCGGGAUGACGGCCUUCGGGUUGUAAACCGCUUUCAGCAGGGACGAAGCUUUUUGUGACGGUACCUGCAGAAGAAGCACCGGCUAACUACGUG